rnacentral:rRNA from 1 species
CUAAUACCGAAUAAGUUCCAAGAGCCGCAUGGCCCAUGGAAGAAAAGGUGGCCUCUACCUGUAAGCUAUCGCCUGAAGAGGGGUUUGCGUCUGAUUAGCUGGUUGGAGGGGUAACGGCCCACCAAGGCGACGAUCAGUAGCCGGUCUGAGAGGAUGAACGGCCACACUGGAACUGAGACACGGUCCAGACUCCUACGGGAGGCAGCAGUGGGGAAUCUUCCGCAAUGGGCGAAAGCCUGACGGAGCAACGCCGCGUGAGUGAUGACGGCCUUCGGGUUGUAAAACUCUGUGAUCCGGGACGAGAAGGCAGAGUGCGAAGAACAAACUGCAUUGACGGUACCGGAAAAGCAAGCCACGGCUAACUACGUGCCAGCAGCCGCGGUAAUACGUAGGUGGCAAGCGUUGUCCGGAAUUAUUGGGCGUAAAGCGCGCGCAGGCGGCUUCCCAAGUCCCUCUUAAAAGUGCGGGGCUUAACCCCGUGAUGGGAAGGAAACUGGGAAGCUGGAGUAUCGGAGAGGAAAGUGGAAUUCCUAGUGUAGCGGUGAAAUGCGUAGAGAUUAGGAAGAACACCGGUGGCGAAGGCGACUUUCUGGACGAAAACUGACGCUGAGGCGCGAAAGCGUGGGGAGCAAACAGGAUUAGAUACCCUGGUAGUCCACGCCGUAAAC